CGGGACAGCGCGGGGGCGCGCGCCUCGGGCGUGCACACGACGCCGGCUGCCGACUUGGCCCAGACGCCGCUCCCGCGGACGUUGAGGGCGUGGCGCCCCGGCUACAGGCAGUCCGAGCCGCGCCGACUCUGCCCGGCUGCCGCCCUCGGCUUCUCCGCCUGCCUGCUCCCGGGUCUGACCUUCCGACCUCUCACCCUCUCGCCUUCCUGCAGCGGCCGAGCGCACAGCAGUAGAUGCCUGGUAGACCUCUUUGAACUUUGGACACAGAAAAGACCUGCUUAUAGGUGAUAAUGCUAAAGGACACUAUGAAAUCUUGGAAUGAUAGCCAGUCAGAUCUCUGUAGCAGUGACCAAGAGGAGGAAGAGAUGAUUUUUGGUGAAAAUGAAGAUGAUUUGGAAGAGAUGAUGGAUUUAAGUGAUCUGCCUACCUCACUUUUUGCUUGCAGUGUCCAUGAAGCAGUGUUUGAGGUGCAAGAGCAGAAGGAGAGAUUUGAAGCACUUUUUUCCAUCUAUGAUGAUCAGGUCACAUUUCAGUUGUUUAAAAGCUUUAGAAGAGUCAGAAUAAAUUUCAGCAAACCUGAAGCAGCAGCAAGAGCUCGAAUAGAACUCCACGAAACGGACUUCAGUGGCAAGAAGCUGAAGCUGUAUUUUGCGCAGGUACAGACGUCCAGUGAGACACGCGACAGAUCGUACUUACUGCCACCCCAGCCGGCCAAGCAGUUCCUCAUCUCCCCUCCAGCCUCUCCUCCUGGCGGGUGGAAACAGGGUGAAGAUGCAGUGCCUGUUAUAAACUAUGAUUUACUCCGUGCUGUUUCCAAACUGGGACCAGGAGAGAAAUAUGAACUUCACGCAGGAACUGAGUCGACACCCAGCGUGGUGGUUCACGUCUGUGAAAGUGAAACUGAAGAGGAAGAAGAAACAAAAAACCCCAAGCAGAAAAUUACCCAGACGAGGCGCCCCGAACCUCCGAACACAGCACGGAGGGAGCCCCAGGCCUUCGACUGUGCACUGUGAGGCCUGCAGGUGGGGUUCGGGUGGGGGGCGAGGCGGCUGCCCUGGAGGCUUCAGGAACAGAGCUGCAGACCGCUCCCACAGGUGCACUGCUGCUAAGAGCACAGCAAAUGUCUGGAGCUCCCUGGUUUUUAUGUGAAGGGGUUACACAUAGGAGUUGGGACUAUUAAGCCAAUGUGGCUGCCACUACAAAUAAAAAAAACUGCAGAAUUCAGGUCAUGAUGUCUGUACAUUUUUGGUAACAUGUUUUUGUGGUUUAGAUGUUCUUAUUAUGUAGAACUUAUUUCUGAGGAAUUAAACUAUAUUAUUGCAAAAGAAGUUUCCUGUAUUUUUCUUGCCCUCAAACACUCAAAGAUGGUAAAUUCUUCUGUUUGUAUAUAUUUACCACUGCUGGGUCUCAUUGUAAAUUCAGUUGAAAUAUGUGAUUUCGUAAGAAAUUUGUUGAAUUCAGACCAUCAUUUGGCUUUGUAACUAAUAGCCACUUAAUAGCAUUUUGCCGGGUUUUAAUUUGAUCUGGUUAUACUACUUCAUAAUUUCAGAAUGGACCCUGUAAGUCAGGAAAUGUAUGUAUUUUCAACAGUUGGGAUCUUUUAAUCUCCUUUUAGGUAAUAUUUCUUCACUAUAAUUUUCUAAGUGGUCAAAAUCCAUGAUGAUCUAUUUAGCUUGGCUUUCAUUCUCUAUGUUCCAAUCAAAGAAUAUUCUAUCCCUAACAUAUAAAACUUUUUUAAAAAGUCAAGAAGUGCAAAUUAUCCGGAUUUUUCUUGUGGUUUUUUUUUUUAGUGUAUUGAAUAAGUUGAAGAAAACUUAAGCCAAAAUUAAAUUUAUAUUAAUUAUUAUAACCUUUUCUGAAUGGAAAACAUUAAUGUUUUCAUUCUUUCUAGUAUAAUAUUUCCGUGAAGUGAACUCUAAAAGAAAAACUACCGCCCAUUAUUUUUUUAAUACUGUGAGAUCAGACAGCAUCUCAACAAUGUUGCGGUCUCUGUCCUCUUUUGGCUAUUUUAUAUCCAGUUCAUGUGACCAGCUUGUAAGGGAUGAAUCUUGUGUAUCUUUUUCUUUAAGUUCCUUUUCGUACAUUAUCCACAUUUUCUUUUUGUAAUUGAAUUAUACCUUAGAUUUAACUCUGACAGCAUAGUAGCCGUGUUUUCUUUAGAAAUCAUAAAUAAAUCCAAUUAUUUAGGGAAUUGUGAGGAAAGAAAAUGAUGCUUUUGCUUUGUGGUAGGAAAAACCAUUUGUGAAGGAUAAAAAAAUUGUAAGACUUAAUAAGGACAGUUGACAGAACCAGGGAUGCACUGGGUCUUAAUGUUCUAGGUCCUGUGGCCCUACCUACCUGAUGGAACCACAAAUAAAUCCAUUUAAAAAUAAGUGGCCUAGUGUGAGCGGUAUGUACUAGUUUAAGGUGUUAAGAGGCAGAAAUGUUAACAGUUCCCUCGCCUUGGAGAGCUGGAAAUCAGGUGGAAUGCAGACUAGGCUUUGCGCCAUCUGCUUCUUCAAAACUUUAUACACCAAAACCUAUCAGUGGUUAAGAGCCAAAUAAAAGCUACUAGGAACUUUUAGGUUCAACAUAAAGGUUUAAAUAGAACCUGGUGGUUUAUGGGAUGUUUGAAUCAGAGAGACACCAGGAGACAGAGAUUCCAGAGCAGUGCUUGCGUUCUUCACAGUCAUUUUUGUUCCCCGUUCACAUUAAUUCCAUCUUCUUUAAAUGUUGCAAAAGUGAAAAUUUUUGAUUUUCUCAAAACUCUCAAAGAGCUGAAGGCAACUGAAAAUGCUACAGUCUAACCCUCAGGUCUGUCAGAUCAGGAAACUGCCACAACGUGUCUUGUUUUGAAGCCCACAGACAGGCAGCCAGAGGCUAGUAUUGGCAUUCCCACCUCCCGGGCUAGUCUUUUUCUACUUUUUCUUGCACAGGCCUCUUACAGACACUCAGAGUCAGUGUAUCCCUGUCAUAGGAAAACAGACACAAAAAAGGAAGGGAAAAAUUAUUUUUUCCCUGAUGGGACACAGUGAAUGAGAAACAUAUCUGAUGAAGGCAGUGACUUAUCACUUUAAUUAGUCAAUUUGAUGUUUCAUGCUUUGUGUUUCUGUUACCAUGUUUUUAUGGUCUUUUAUAGACCAGGCCUUCAUUUGUAACAGGGAAAAUCUCAAACAUAAUUAAUGGAGAAUGUAUGAAAUGCUUUGGUGCCUCAGGUUCACUGCUGGCAUCUCCUCUCUCCAGAGUACCUCUCACCUGUCACACAGGGCACUCGGUCUGUCUUCCCUUUCCUGCGCACUGUGCCCCUUUUUGCAUAUCUUCAUUUACAUCUUUCCAUACAAAAGGAAAAAAAUUACUAGUGUCACAAUAUAAAGGAACAAAAGACUUGGAGAAAUAGUUGCCUCCUACCCAGGGAGGUUAAGUCUAUCAUUGUAGAAAUUUGCUUUUUAAAAAGCUAAAUAAAUUUAAAGAGUAAGAUUUAGGAACCUUGUCCAACAAUUUGAUAAAUAUGCAUUUGUUGUUUAAACUCCCUUGGAGUGUGGGUCAGGUCAUCUUCGUUAGAAUGCUGUUGUUUUCUUUAACCAUGAAUCAGGAGAAAAAUGUUAAUAGCUUGGAGAGUGUUUUUAUUACCAAAUAUAUAACCAACAAAGCAACUGAAAAUGGCAACAACUGCUAGGUUCACUGACCGAAAUGAUUAUAAAAGCAGUCAUGUGCAAAGUAGAAGUUUCAAGCCAAGGUUAAGAAUAUGUUGCGCUGAGUCAAAGUGUCUAUGCAUUUAACAAAAGUAUAAAGACCUUUGACUAAAUGAGAUAAUGUGGUCGAGCUUAUAAACCUACCUUUGCAUUUGAAACAAAAUCACAUCUUGCAAACUCUUUUGCAGUUCCCACACAGCUUUGACUGAAUGUUCGUUCUUGUCAUAAUGGAAGAUUUGUAUCUAUGCAGAUAAUACGUGUUUUUCUGUACUAUUUUCUGUUGAGUCCCCAGUCUUCCUAACUCAAACUGGGGGCUGAGCAGUAAAGGUGGCUAAUCCCAUUAUUGUGCUAUACUCUUCCCACAGCUUCUCAACCCAAAGUGGGGGCCCCAGGGAGCAUUGAUCUAUGUUUCUGCUGUAUUGUACAUAUCCUCCAAGCUUAAGUGUCGUGAUCUUGUGUUAUAUUUGGGGGCAUGUUACCUUUCUGAUACUGUACACUGUAGUGAAUAUUCAUUGUACUUCAGAAAAGCUGGUCUGUGGUUCAUAUACACAUAUCCCGUAUUUUCGUGUGCUAGAAGUGACGGUCCAUAGUGUGUGGCAGUUGGAUUUUUGUCAACAUUGGCUAUCCUGUCUUGUGAGGACAUUUAAACAUUCCUUGUCCCAUCAAGGUGACAAAAGCAAAAUGUACUGUUUGGGGAAUCUUUGUGAUUACUUGUAACAAAUUUUGUUUUUAAAACUAAUAAAAAUGUUCAUUUUUUAAAAUCAA